CCUACGGGUGGCAGCAGUGAGGAAUAUUGGUCAAUGGGCUUACGCCUGAACCAGCCAAGUCGCGUGAGGGAAGACUGCCCUAUGGGUUGUAAACCUCUUUUGUCAGGGAGCAAUUGGCGCUACGUGUAGCGUUAUCGAGAGUACCUGAAGAAAAAGCAUCGGCUAACUCCGUGCCAGCAGCCGCGGUAAUACGGAGGAUGCGAGCGUUAUCCGGAUUUAUUGGGUUUAAAGGGAGCGUAGGCGGAAUGCCAAGUCAGCGGUAAAAGCGCGGGGCUAAAACGCGCUCCGCCGUGGAUACGGGCGUUCUUGAGUGGGCGAGAGGGAUGUGGAAUGCGAGGUGUAGCGGUGAAAUGCAUAGAGAUCACGCAGAACACCGAUUGCGAAGGCAGCAUACCGGCGCCCGACUGACGCUGAAGCACGAAAGCGUGGGUAGCGAACAGGAUUAGAUACCCGAGUAGUC
rnacentral:rRNA from 1 species